rnacentral:rRNA from 1 species
GAUCUUUAUAUAUUAUAAAUUUUAAUAAAAGAAAGAUAAAUAUUUUUAUAAAAAUUUAUUUAUAUUAUAUUGGGGUAAUAAUAAAAUUUUAUAAAUUUUUAUUUUUUAAAAACAAUUUAAUUGAAUUAUUGAUCCAUUAUUAUUGAUUAAAAAAUUAAGUUACCUUAGGGAUAACAGCAUAAUGAUUUUUAAGAGUUCUUAUCAAUAAAAUAGUUUGU